rnacentral:rRNA from 1 species
GACGAACGCUGGCGGCGUGCUUAACACAUGCAAGUCGAACGGAAAGGCCCUGCUUUUGUGGGGUGCUCGAGUGGCGAACGGGUGAGUAACACGUGAGUAACCUGCCCUUGACUUUGGGAUAACUUCAGGAAACUGGGGCUAAUACCGGAUAGGAGCUCCUGCUGCAUGGUGGGGGUUGGAAAGUUUCGGCGGUUGGGGAUGGACUCGCGGCUUAUCAGCUGGUUGGUGGGGUAGUGGCUUACCAAGGCUUUGACGGGUAGCCGGCCUGAGAGGGUGACCGGCCACAUUGGGACUGAGAUACGGCCCAGACUCCUACGGGAGGCAGAAGUGGGGAAUAUUGCACAAUGGGCGGAAGCCUGAUGCAGCAACGCCGCGUGCGGGAUGACGGCCUUCGGGUUGUAAACCGCUUUCGCCUGUGACGAAGCGUGAGUGACGGUAAUGGGUAAAGAAGCACCGGCUAACUACGUG